AGAAAAGAAAGAGUUUGAUCAGAAACCUGCAGGUGGCUCCUGCAACCAGUCACUCCAGGAAGAUAUGAAGCACCACAAAGACUUUUUUGGACAAGGUUUAAGACUGGAUUGAACUCCCACAAGGACCAGUACAAACCAAAGCAACUUCUGUGCAGAGUAAAAGGUGUAUGUUUUAACUUGUUUUUCAUAACACAACAUAUACAAGUCUGUGUAUAGGUCUGAUAAUAAAACAAAAAAAAACAAGAAAAGAAAGGGCAAAAAAAUCCCAAAACACUACUGCACAUUCUCCUACGCCUGAGGAGGGGAUGAGGGCAUGAACACAGGACAAAUGUUAGUCAUGUCACUUCACAAACUGCUGGAAAGCACUCAGUUGCUCCAGUGAUGACGUGGACAUUAGACCUUAAUGGAAGAGAAUGGAAUAGGAAAUUGAAAGCCAGUCCCUGGCUUUUAUUCCUGGGCCUAAAAUAUACAAAACCCAUGAAAGUACACUCCUGAGGAAAUGCACAAACCAUCUACGAACAGCAUGACAAAACAGCUUUUUCCACUCUCUUCCUAGGACUGAACAUUUGUUUGUCACUGUCCCUGCUGCAAUGAGUUUUGGCAUAGAUGCAUCCACUGGGAAGUGUGAUUAUGAGGGUAACAUGUCUCCUAUCAGCUUGUAUAAUCUUGUUGAUGUGCCCCACCAGAAUGCAUGUGAAGCUAGUUCAUUUUCACACCUGAAUCCCCUAAGGUCAUAACAGCCUGCAUUUAGACUGCAAUGUGAGGAAGGGUAUUAAGACUUGGGACUUGUAACUGUAGGAAUGCAAAGGCCUCUGUUGCUAGAGAGUAUUUUGCAUUAGUUGUCAGUAGCACUGUCUUGUGUCUGUUGUAAAACAUGAGGAUAAAGAGACCAAUUGAACAUAGAAGCAGUUGUGAUGCCCUGUGGCACAGCAGUGCUUUCUGUUUUGGGAAAUGGAAAUUUUUCAUGGACUUGGAACCACUGUCACCUCUUCUGAUGCUUAGUGUUCCAAAAAGAGGAAACAGACUGCGUAUCUUGACUUUCCUCCAGCACUCAGGGUCUCAGUGCAUAUAAAAACCCACUUGGAAGCUACUGUCAGCUGCUUAUGCAAAUAAUAAUUUUGGAGUUUUUCUUUGCUGAUACUCUGUUGAUGCUUUAAAGCCACUGUGCCUUUGUGUGUCGCUCUUGCCUGAUAACUGUAAGUGAUAAUGUGUUGCUAUGAUGCAAAGGCAUACUGUAGCCUUGGCCCAGCAAGAAUGAUAUGCACACAUGCACAUAUGUGGGUUGGAGAUGUGGUGGAAGGGUUGAUUUGGGUUUAGGGAAGAGUAAUAAACACAUCAUCAUUUAUGGAGUGUUUUGGUGA
rnacentral:lncRNA from 1 species